rnacentral:rRNA from 1 species
ACAGCAGUAGCCGCGGUAAUACGUAGGGUGCGAGCGUUAAUCGGAAUUACUGGGCGUAAAGCGUGCGCAGGCGGUUUUGUAAGACAGGCGUGAAAUCCCCGGGCUCAACCUGGGAAUGGCGCUUGUGACUGCAAAGCUAGAGUGCGGCAGAGGGGGAUGGAAUUCCGCGUGUAGCAGUGAAAUGCGUAGAUAUGCGGAGGAACACCGAUGGCGAAGGCAAUCCCCUGGGCCUGCACUGACGCUCAUGCACGGAAGCGUGGGGAGCAAACAGGAUUAGAUACCCGCGUAGUCCCUGUCUCUUAUAC